CAUGAAUGGAAACUCUACUGAAAUGAACAUUUCCAUCUCCAUGGGCUCACAGACCACUGAGUAACAGAAAACACUGUUGUAUUUCUGCCGACCAGCAUUUGGAAGCAGCCAGUCCUUCAAUCCCAGCCUACUCCAGUCCUCCUUGAGGAAAGAGUCACGGAUCACUCACUCGUCCCUGCCGUCCUCUGACUACCGUAAGGUCUCGCCCAGGGAGAAAAACCUCAACUGGAAUCACAGUGUUGCCAUUUCUGUUGGAUCCGAGGUGGUUUUGCAUCGAUUGGCAGUCCAGCAGUUUGUGCCCGGUGCCCAGAUCUGGAGACAACAAAAACAAUAACUUUUUUUUCCCAAAUAUCUUUUUGUGUAUGGGUAUUUUGCCUGAAUGCUUGUACGUGUACCACGUGCAUGUCUGGUGCCCGCAGAGGCUAGAAGAGGGGACAUCGGAUCUGGACCUCGAGCUACAGAUGGUUGUGAGUUGAUAUUUGGGACUCAGUACUCCAUCCUCUGUAAGUGCGCCUAACCACUGAGCUACCUUUCCAGUCCCUAGAAUGGUUCUUCUUGUUGUUGUUGUUUAAAUAAUAGGUCCAAAAUGUUGUCUUGGUGCCUCCACCUACAUCCAGCUGUAAACUGAUAACAAGGCUCCGGCCAUUUCAGAUCAGAACCCACAUGCUAAUGCUUUAAUCAUGCAUUUACCUCAACCUGAGAAAGCCAACACUCCCUGUGUUCUCUUCUGUGCGUUAGACAGGGUGAGAAAGAUGUGAUGGUUCAGGAAAGAGGUGGCAGGAGCACACCCAGUGCAGAACAACACGAGACAGGAGGAAUAAGCAUGAUGUAGCAGGAGCUCAAAGGAACCGAACGGCACAUAUGGAAAGGCAGACCGUAGGAGGUGGAAUGGGACUGCUGAGAGCAGAACGUUAGAAGAUUGGUUAAGACACAGAAGGCUUGGGCUAGGCUAGAGAAAAGAAGAACCGCUAAACUUUACCCAAUGCGGGGGGCACAGAGAGUAGAAAGGGUGGACUAGAAAGAUGGACCGGAGCCAGGCAGAAUGGACUUCAAUUAUACCCUGCCAGCUAAGGGAGCCAGGAGCUUUUAGCCCGGGAAUACUUUAAUGUAUAAUCAUACGUACUUUUAAUGGAGCAUUACCAUCCAGGAAUAGACAGGCAUAGACUAGCAGAAGAGGCGUGGAGGAGACAUAGUAUUGGAAGGGUGGAAAGCUCAGAAAAGCUAGACAAGAUUAGGGAAACCACCG
rnacentral:lncRNA from 1 species